rnacentral:rRNA from 1 species
GACGAACGUUGGCGGUGCGCUUUAUACAUGCAAGUCGUGCGCGAAAGGCCCCUUCGGGGCCGAGUAGAGCGGCGGACGGGUGCGUAACACGUGAGCAACCUGCCCUGGAGUGGGGAAUAACUCCGAGAAAUCGGGGCUAAUACCGCAUGAUGUCGCAGCUCCGCAUGAAGCUGCGCUUAAAGUCGGCCUCUGCUUGCAAGCUGGCGCUCCAGGANGGGCUCGCGGCCUAUUAGCUAGUUGGCGGGGUAAUGGCCCACCAAGGCUACGAUGGGUAGGGGCGUG